CACGUGGGCAACCUGCCUCAUAGAGGGGAAUAGCCUUCCGAAAGGGAGAUUAAUACCGCAUAAGAUUGUAGUACCGCAUGGUACAGCAAUUAAAGGAGCAAUCCGCUAUGAGAUGGGCCCGCGGCGCAUUAGCUAGUUGGUGAGGUAACGGCUCACCAAGGCGACGAUGCGUAGCCGACCUGAGAGGGUGAUCGGCCACAUUGGGACUGAGACACGGCCCAGACUCCUACGGGAGGCAGCAUG
rnacentral:rRNA from 1 species